rnacentral:rRNA from 1 species
CCUACGGGAGGCAGCAGUGAGGAAUAUUGGUCAAUGGGCGCGAGCCUGAACCAGCCAAGUAGCGUGAAGGAUGACUGCCCUACGGGUUGUAAACUUCUUUUGUACAGGAAUAAAGUGCGCCACGUGUGCCUUUUUGUAUGUACUUUAUGAAUAAGGAUCGGCUAACUCCGUGCCAGCAGCCGCGGUCAUACGGAGGAUACGAGCGUUAUCCGGAUUUAUUGGGUUUAAAGGGUGCGUAGGUGGGACGUUAAGUCAGUUGUGAAAGUUUGGGGCUCAACCGCAGAAGUGCAAUUGAUACUGGCAGACUUGAGUACAGGAGAAGUACGCGGAAUGCGUGGUGUAGCGGUGAAAUGCUUAGAUAUCACGAAGAACUCCGAUUGCGAAGGCAGCUUACU